AAUGGCUCAUUAAAUCAGUUAUCGUUUAUUUGAUAGUACCUUACUACUUGGAUAACCGUGGUAAUUCUAGAGCUAAUACAUGCUGAAAACCCUGACUUCGGAAAGGGUGUAUUUAUUAGAUAAAAAACCAAUGCCCUUCGGGGCUCUUUGGUGAUUCAUGAUAACUUAACGGAUCGCAUGGCCUUGCGCCGGCGACGGUUCAUUCAAAUUUCUGCCCUAUCAACUUUCGAUGGUAAGGUAUUGGCUUACCAUGGUUUCAACGGGUAACGGGGAAUUAGGGUUCGAUUCCGGAGAGGGAGCCUGAGAAACGGCUACCACAUCCAAGGAAGGCAGCAGGCGCGCAAAUUACCCAAUCCCGACACGGGGAGGUAGUGACAAUAAAUACUGAUACAGGGCUCUUUUGGGUCUUGUAAUCGGAAUGAGUACAAUUUAAACCUCUUAACGAGGAACAAUUGGAGGGCAAGUCUGGUGCCAGCAGCCGCGGUAAUUCCAGCUCCAAUAGCGUAUAUUAAAGUUGUUGCAGUUAAAAAGCUCGUAGUUGAAUCUUGGGCCUGGCUGGCUGGUCCGCCUCACCGCGUGUACUGGUCUGGCCGGGCCUUUCCUUCUGGAGAACCUCAUGCCCUUCAUUGGGUGUGUUGGGGAACCAGGACUUUUACUUUGAAAAAAUUAGAGUGUUCAAAGCAGGCCUUUGCUCGAAUACGUUAGCAUGGAAUAAUAGAAUAGGACGUGCGGUCCUAUUUUGUUGGUUUCUAGGACCGCCGUAAUGAUUAAUAGGGAUAGUCGGGGGCAUCAGUAUUCAAUUGUCAGAGGUGAAAUUCUUGGAUUUAUUGAAGACUAACUACUGCGAAAGCAUUUGCCAAGGAUGUUUUCAUUAAUCAGUGAACGAAAGUUAGGGGAUCGAAGACGAUCAGAUACCGUCGUAGUCUUAACCGUAAACUAUGCCGACUAGGGAUCGGGCGAUGUUAUCAUUUUGACUCGCUCGGCC
rnacentral:rRNA from 1 species